rnacentral:lncRNA from 1 species
GGUUGCGAUCCUACCGGCACUAAUUCACCGGAUCUCAUCAGAACUCCACAGUAAAGCAUGCUUGGGCGAGAGUAGUACUAGGAUGGGUGACCCCUGGGAAGUUCUCGUGUUGCAAUCCUUUUUUUAUUUUUUUUCGGUUAUAAAUGUAUUUCUUUAGUCAUUGAUUCACCGGGCCAAGUGUCAGUAUUCAUUGGAAUGGGGCUACGAGGGUGGCCCGAGGCGUGAUAGCUUAAGGAUGAUGGGAGUGACCGACUUUGUCAAAGGAAUGACCUUUACAAAGGUGCGUGUGCGAACGGAGCGCAUGAGACGCGUAACAGAGGACAUACAUGGGAGCCCAGGUGUGUAUGAGAUUAAGGUGUGGAAAAGUAUAAAGGAAUAAGGAGAUGGUAGCCUUUUGGUUGCAAUCAUACCAGCACUAAUGCAUCGGAGCCCAUCAGAACUCCGCAGUUAAGCUUGCUUGGGCGAGAGUAGUACUAGGAUGGGUGACCCCUAGGAAGUCCUCAUGUUGCAAACCU